GAAAAACAAAUCACUAGUUGACACACAAUCAGUGGUCGUAAAAGGUGAUAGUCAUUCCUGGUGCUCAUAAAAAACAUUUACAUCGAGACAUUGUUCCUUGUGACUGCAGGAUUUUCUGGUUCUGAUCAUCUGGUUAUCUUUUAACA